AAAGCGCGCGUAGGCGGACUAUUAAGCCAGAUGUGAAAUCCCGGGGCUCAACGUCGGAACUGCAUUUGGAACUGGUAGUCUAGAGCCCGGGAGAGGUUAGUGGAAUGCCGAGUGUAGAGGUGAAAAUUCGUAGAUAUUCGGUGGAACACCAGUGGCGAAGGCGACUGACUGGACUGGUACUGACGCUGAGGUGCGAAAGUGUGGGGAGCAAACAGGAUUAGAUACCCUGGUAGUCCACACCGUAAACGAUGAGUGCUAGUUGUCGGCAGGCAUGCCUGUCGGUGACGCAGCUAACGCAUUAAGCACUCCGCCUGGGGAGUACGGCCGCAAGGUUAAAACUCAAAGAAAUUGACGGGGGCCCGCACAAGCGGUGGAGCAUGUGGUUUAAUUCGAAGCAACGCGCAGAACCUUACCUACCCUUGACAUGCCCGGUUUGGUCGCCAGAGAUGGCUUCCUUGAUUCGUUCGCCGGUGCACAGGUGCUGCAUGGCUGUCGUCAGCUCGUGUCGUGAGAUGUUGGGUUAAGUCCCGCAACGAGCGCAACCCUCAUCCUUAGUUGCCAUCAGGUUUGGCUGGGCACUCUAAGGAAACUGCCGGUGGCAAGCCGGAGGAAGGUGGGGAUGACGUCAAGUCCUCAUGGCCCUUACGGGUAGGGCUACACACGUGCUACAAUGGCAGUGACAAUGGGAUAAUCCCCAAAAACUGUCUCAGUUCGGAUUGUCGUCUGCAACUCGACGGCAUGAAGUUGGAAUCGCUAGUAAUCGUGGAUCAGCAUGCCACGGUGAAUACGUUCCCGGGCCUUGUACACACCGCCCGUCACAUUAUGGGAGUUGGUUCUACCCGAAGACCGUGCGCUAACUUCGGAGGCAGCGGGCCACGGUAGGAUCAGCGACUGGG
rnacentral:rRNA from 1 species